rnacentral:tRNA from 1 species
AGCCCCCUCGUCUAGCGGCCAAGGACACGAGGCUCUGGACCUCGGAACGUAGGUUCGAAUCCUGCGGGGGCUA